rnacentral:rRNA from 1 species
GACGAACGCUGGCGGCGUGCUUAACACAUGCAAGUCGAACGGAAAGGCCCUGCUUUUGUGGGGUGCUCGAGUGGCGAACGGGUGAGUAACACGUGAGUAACCUGCCCUUGACUUUGGGAUAACUUCAGGAAACUGGGGCUAAUACCGGAUAGGAGCUCCUGCUGCAUGGUGGGGGUUGGAAAGUUUCGGCGGUUGGGGAUGGACUCGCGGCUUAUCAGCUUGUUGGUGGGGUAGUGGCUUACCAAGGCUUUGACGGGUAGCCGGCCUGAGAGGGUGACCGGCCACAUUGGGACUGAGAUACGGCCCAGACUCAUACGGGAGGCAGCGGUGGGGAAUAUUGCACAAUGGGCGGAAGCCUGAUGCAGCAACGCCACGUGCGGGAUGACGGCCUUCGGGUUGUAAACCGCUUUCGCCUGUGACGAAGCGUGAGUGACGGUAAUGGGUAAAGAAGCACCGGCUAACUACGUG